rfam:Sulfurospirillum deleyianum DSM 6946, complete genome.
GGGGCUGACAUGGCUUCGACAGGAGUAGUUUUAGCUUAUGGCUGCAUGUCGGGAGUGAGGGUCUUCCGUUACACAACCUUCAAACAAUAACUGCUAACAACAGUAACUAUCGUCCUGCUUACGCGCUAGCUGCGUAAGUUUAACAAAUAAUGGACUGCUCUCCCCUUUGAUGCUAUCUUAGGAGGUCUUGGAGAGUAUCAUAGAUUUGAUAGCUAUAUUACAUGAACGCCUUUACAUGUAAUGAAGUUAAAGGCUCGUUUUGCGUAGUUUUCUGAUUGUUGUACGAAGCAAAAUUAAACACUAUCAACAAUAUCUAAGCAUGUAGACGUCAUAGGUGGCUAUUUUUGGACUGGGGUUCAAUCCCCCACAGCUCCACCA